rnacentral:rRNA from 1 species
GAUGAACGCUGGCGGCGUGCCUAAUACAUGCAAGUCGAGCGAGCAGACGAGGAGCUUGCUCCUCUGACGUUAGCGGCGGACGGGUGAGUAACACGUGGAUAACCUACCUAUAAGACUGGGAUAACUUCGGGAAACCGGAGCUAAUACCGGAUAAUAUAUUGAACCGCAUGGUUCAAUAGUGAAAGACGGUUUUGCUGUCACUUAUAGAUGGAUCCGCGCCGCAUUAGCUAGUUGGUAAGGUAACGGCUUACCAAGGCAACGAUGCGUAGCCGACCUGAGAGGGUGAUCGGCCACACUGGAACUGAGACACGGUCCAGACGCCUACGGGAGGCAGCAGUAGGGAAUCUUCCGCAAUGGGCGAAAGCCUGACGGAGCAACGCCGCGUGAGUAAUGAAGGUCUUCGGAUCGUAAAACUCUGUUAUUAGGGAAGAACAAAUGUGUAAGUAACUAUGCACGUCUUGACGGUACCUAAUCAGAAAGCCACGGCUAACUACGUG